AUUCGAUGAUACCCGAGGAACCUUACCCGGGCUUGAAUUGCAGAGGAAGGAUUUAGAGAUAAUGACGCCCUUCGGGGUCUCUGUGAAGGUGCUGCAUGGUUGUCGUCAGCUCGUGCCGUGAGGUGUCGGCUUAAGUGCCAUAACGAGCGCAACCCCUGUCUUUAGUUGCCAUCAGGUGAUGCUGGGCACUCUGGAGAUACUGCCACCGUAAGGUGUGAGGAAGGUGGGGAUGACGUCAAAUCAGCACGGCCCUUACGUCCGGGGCUACACACGUGUUACAAUGGCCGGUACAGAGGGACGGUGUAAUGUAAAUUGCAUCCAAUCUUGAAAGCCGGUCCCAGUUCGGACUGGGGUCUGCAACCCGACCCCACGAAGCUGGAUUCGCUAGUAAUCGCGCAUCAGCCAUGGCGCGGUGAAUACGUUCCCGGGCCUUGUACACACCGCCCGUCAAGCCAUGAAAGCCGGGGGUGCCUGAAGUCCGUGACCGCAAGGAUCGGCCUAGGGCAAAACUGGUGAUUGGGGCUAAGUCGUAACAAGGUAGCCA
rnacentral:rRNA from 1 species